rnacentral:rRNA from 1 species
AUUGAACGCUGGCGGCAGGCUUAACACAUGCAAGUCGAGCGAGCGGCGGACGGGUGCGUAAUGUCUGGGAAACUGCCUGAUGGAGGGGGAUCACUACUGGAAACGGUAGCUCAUCCCGCCUCCCAUCCGAUGUGCCCAGAUGGGAUUAGCUAGUAGGUGGGGUAAUGGCUCACCUAGGCGACGAUCCCUAGCUGGUCUGAGAGGAUGACCAGCGACACUGGAACUGAGAAACGGUGCAGAAUAAUACGGGAGGCAGAAGUGGGGAAUAUUGCACAAGGGGCGCAAGACGGAUGCAGCCAUGCCGCGUGUGUGAAGAAGGCCUGCGGGUUGUAAAGCACUUUCAGCGAGGAGGCGUUACUCGCAGAAGAAGCACCGGCUAACUCCGUGCCAGCAGCCGCGGUAAUUC